CCGCCCCCUCCGGCCUCGCGGGUUGGCAGCCUCCUGAAGGCCGUUGGCCUCUCCGCUGACUUCCGGCCAGGACAGGGCCCCUGGACGCCAGUCACGUCUGCGCUAGGCGGUGGGAGGGACAGCUCGGCUAGCUUGCCUUGCUGGUUGGCCAUUUUUAGAACGCCUGCUCGGUGUCAGGCUGGUAUUAGGGGCUGGGACUGCAGGGCCCCCCGCUGUGAAGAGGCCAGACACCGCCUCCACCCCACCCCCGUCCCUCCCUAGAGGGACAAUCUCAGUUCCUUACUCAGUAUUUGCUGAUUGCCAACCGUGGGCGGCACUGUGCUAGGCAUCCAAGAUGCAGUAAUGGAAAAGACAUAGCCUAGCAGGGAGCCAGGGAAGCAAGAGGAUAAUGCAGGACAAUACAAGUGUUAAAGGAGCUUGUGCCUUUGGAGCUAUGAAAGGAUCUCUCAGACUGGAGAGGGUGCUUGCAGAGGAAGUCUUGCUUCGUCUCAAGAUGGAAGAUGGACCCAUUGGGAAGGAAGGAGACAGAACAGCAUGUAAAAGUUGAAAGGGGGACGUCCCUGGUGGUCCAGUGGUUAAGAACCUGCUUUGCAAGGAGAGGAUGUGUGUGCGCAGUCCUGUCUAACGUCUUUGCAACCCCAUGGACUGUAAGUCCACCAAGCUUAAGUGUCCGCAGCUCUUGCAGUAAGCGUAACUGGUCUCUGCUUAGCUUCUGAGGAUGACUUCCCCAGCACCAGGCUCCUGAUGUGUAAGCGACCAGCAGGACCUAACAGCCAGCAGCUUCCCCCAGGACCAACCCUGCUUAUGUGCUUUCAUACAGUAACUGUGGUGAAAUGAUUUUCUAUGAAUAGCUUUCUCCAGCAUCCUAAUAGUUUUCCAGCCUAUAGGGUGAAUUUCUAGCAAAUUCCACCAGCACGGCACCAUAGUCACUCCUCUGCCGUUCACAAGGGCUGGAUCUUAGCCUGGGUGUGUGGGGUUCAGGAUUCUUCUUUGGGCACAACCAUUGUACUAUUUUAGCCAUAUGGCCAGUGGCUGUUCCCCAAAUCUGCUACUCCUAUAUUCUUUCAAGUUCUCUUUACUUCUCAGUGGCCAAAUCCUUUACUCAUGUUAGUUGCUCAGUCAUGUCUGACUCUUUGCAACCCCAGGCUCCUCUGUCAUGAAAUUCUCCAGGCAAGAAUGCUGGAGUGGUCAGCCAUUUCUCUGAGAAUAUUUUAUCAAUUGCAGAAAAAAUAAGAAUAGGAGCAUCUUGAAUGAUGUCAUUAAUAAUUUAAAUAGAUUUCUAUUUACAUUAAUUUAUAUUGAUUUUAUAUCCCACACAAAUAUAUUUAAAAUUUUGUUCCGGGGGUACUCUUUUGCCCCCUUCUGAUGCCUAUGUCAGAAGCUUUCUCCUUUAUACUUUAAUAAAACUUUAUUACACAAAAGCUCUGAGCGAUCCAGCCUCGCGUCUCCUCCAGAGGCCAAGAAUCCAGCAUCUUAUCUUAUCGUUCAGCAACAACCUUUCAUCUUGGGGGCUCAUCCGGGAUCCUUCAGGACAAGAUGGGCCUGAUAAUCUAUGUGAGCCUACUUCUGCUGACUCCAGAAAUCCUGAGUCUGCCGUUUGAUCCUCAAGACAAUGCCUUCCUGUCCUGGGCUCACUCCUAUGCUGCAUUCCACAAUCGGUCUAACUGCUGGGUCUGUGGAGCACUCCCACUUCAUCGGUGGAAGGCUUCCCGUGGUGGACAUCUCCACUUCAAGGAAAAGAGUUUCUCCAAGUCUGCGAAUACCUUCGACAACAAUCACAUGUGAUGCCUCUUCUUAAACUGAUGACAUCUAACAACCUUAAGAUGGACUGAUGUAACUAUGGACAUAAUGUGACUUUUCAUUUUGAUUUUAACUUGGUUUAAUGACUAUUUUGCCUUACAUCUGUAACUGUAUAAUGGGGUUUUCUAACCGUCUAAAAGCUUUUAAAAUACAAAUAGUUGUCCGAGCUCCUAUGAGUGCCACAGCCUCCUCCAACUAUUACUUGGAGCCCCUGGAUCAGACAUCCUCACUAUGAGGAUUAGGAGAAUAUGUUGCCUCACCAAUUUAGGGACAACGCCCCUUGUCAGCUCAAAGCAGUUAUGGAAUGAGAACGACGCCCCUUUUCCCUAGGCAACAUAAUUCUCCUAAAAGAAAAGGGGGGAAUGAGAGAGUCAUUUCCUAGGCAGGUUGAUAAGACGUCUAGGGGUCCCCAAGGAGAGAGAGGUCUGGGAUAUUCAAGGAGGAAGAAAGGACAAACUUUUUUACCUUUUUUCCUCUACAUUCCUUAGGAUUAUAUAACAAUAAUGUAUCCUGCCUGAAGACAGUCUUUGGAUUAAACCCUCUGUUAUCUUAAAACAUAAAUUAUGGGAGUAGGUCUGGUCUUUACAAGGAUGUAUCCUGCUUGAGGACAAUCUUUGGAUUAAACCUUCUGGCCAAC